AACGGUGGCGAGCUGUCCCCACAGUGACCACGACCGGUCUCCUGCCCGGUGUUGGGAGCGGGAGAGGAGCUGAGCCCAGCCCCUCACCCGCACCCCGCCCAAUCUCCAGGAGUCCAAGGAGAAAACCCCCAAGUAAGAGAAUAGCCAACUGCACCCUUCCCUCACCUUGACCAUUUCUUCUGUCUCUCCUAAGUACUGGUCAUUGUUGUCUCUAAGCAACGGAUGGGACAAAAUUCCAUGAGGGAAACAAAAGGAAAAAUCUUAACCCCCAGCACUGGGCUGGAAGUACCAUUCAGAAGCCAACUUCUGCCCAGAUCUCUCUGGCCACACCCCUGAAGUCCCUGGCACAGGCAGCUCUGAGUCUCAAGGGACAUUGACAUGGUUGAAAGAGCUGCGGCCUGGGGCAGGGCACUCCUCAUGAAGCCCUUCAGAAAGAGGUUGGAUGAAACAAUGACCUUUGGAAAAGGUCGGGUACAUUUGGUGGCAAUGGAAUUACACUGUUUCUCAUCUAUCGAUGUUACAAUUUUUUUCACUUUAUGACUGUUAUUUGUCUUAGCAUAAGAAUGUUUCUUGGAUGUAGUGUGAUGCAUUUGGAUACCUUUAGAAUCAGGAGGAACAGCUGAAGCACCACAAGUGAUCUGAGUUUUCCAGCUUGUGAGUAUUUGGUUGUGUAGCCUGAGCUGACUGAUGCUUCUGAAGAUGAGACCACGGUGUAAGUGCCUAAGCUUGAACUUAUGACUGGCUCUUGCUGAAGGGGUCACUAGUGAGAGUUUCUCCUGUCACAGCUGGGAGGAGAAGCCUUAACUCUUCCAAUGAGCGCUUCAGCCACUAAGAGCUUCCCAUUCACUGUCUUCUGAUUAGUUCCAAACUUGAGUUUAAAGCUAGUCAUCAGUUAAUAUAAGAGAUAACAGAGUAAGUGCUUCUCAGAUGUUCAAAAUGUUGGGGCUUUUUUUCAGGUUGUAGUUUCUCUGUACCAGCUUCUGUUGGCUCGUAAGGGGACUGUAGCAAAACAAACUGACUUGAAUUAAUAUUUUUUAAUCAGUGAAAUUAAGCUGAGGGCCAACUGGAAGACUUUGGUUCUACUGGAAUAACAUCUCUGAUUAGCUUGAGGCUAAAUUACUAAUUCCAGUGAGGGAUUUUGAAGUUUUCAUUUGGCUUAAUGUGCAAAACCCUUAAAUAUUCUGUCAUAUUUAGCAGUCUGAAAUACCAGGACCCUGUGAAUCUGUGUCUAAAAGCUAAACCCCACAAAAAUAAUGCUAAAGUUUUUGCUUUAAUAUUCUAAAUUAAACAGAUAUUGCAUUUAGUGACAUUUUCAAAAUCUUUAUGGAGUGAUAGUGUAUUAUUUGAAUAUUUUUAAUGUGACAAAUUAAGAUUUCAAUGUGAUUCAGUACACACAAACUUAUAGCAUUGACACCAAUUAACUCUUAAACAAAAGCUUUAGUGUUUUCUGGAUAUUGUACUCUAAUGAUGGCAGCUUGGUGAGAUGCUAUUUCAUGCUUGGUGUUUAGACAUAUAUCUAGUGAAAUGAAUAUAAAUUGAGUUCUAGCUCUUGAUUAGUAAUCUAUACAGCUGUUAGCUUGAACUCUAAAAUCUGGGGCUUUACAAUUCAGGAGGGGGAAAAAUGGACAAGUUCAGCAAUGAGAAGAGGCAUUGGUGAGCUAAAUUAAAUGGCUGAUGAUAAUUGCGAUAGCUUACAAAGAAUGAUGCUAUGUUAUUUACAAAAGCUCCUUUUCGCAUGGAAUCUGAUGUCUUCUCCCAUGAGCUUGCUUAUAAUUCAUAUUCUACUUUAAUAUGCCUGCAAAAUGUGCUUUCUUUCUGUAUACGUAUUAUUUUUAGGAUGUUAUGUUUCCUUGGUGCAUACACAAUGAGCCUGAAAUCCUGUAGGAAUGUGUUUAAUUUGAAA